rnacentral:lncRNA from 1 species
CAGAGUUCUCUGUGAGAACGAGCCGGGGGGUACUGUCCACCCGGCGGUGGCUCCCCAGCAACCUUCUGAAGGAGUACGUGGACAGGAAGCCUCAGAGAAGCCUUUGGAACAGUACGGCAGGUUAGGUUUAGCAGGAGGCCUUAAAUACCACGGAGCAGGACCCAUCCCCUUGGAGGUCUGACCGGCCCGUUCCGUUGUCUCUCCAACCAGUAACGAGGGUCAGACAAGCACCCACAGACGCGGAUGUGGGGAGAAGCAGAUCCGUUCUCCUGUUUCGAACAUAUCUGGGGAGCGGCAGCAUGCCCACGCUCCUCGUACUCAAGCACCACCCGAAUCUGAGCACCAUGUGCCGGCCCAGCGGUCCCUUCCAGUCUAAUGGCAAAGCCCGUGUCCCCUGCUUCACGUCCGUGGGUUAGGGGCCGCCGUUUCUGCAGUUUUGGAGUGUCGCUGGUUACUGUCACCAAAUGGUUGGUAAAUGUGCCAGCUCUCUGGAAAUAGAUAUACGUGUGAGCGGCUUGCCGUUGUGGUGGCCCCUGGGGGACCCAGGGCACGACCCCACUGGGAAGGAGGCUUGCUG